UACGGAGGGUGCAAGCGUUAAUCGGAAUUACUGGGCGUAAAGCGCGCGUAGGCGGCUCGAUCAGUCGGGUGUGAAAUCCCUGGGCUCAACCUGGGAACUGCAUUCGAUACUGUCGAGCUAGAGUGUGGGAGAGGGUAGUGGAAUUCCCGGUGUAGCGGUGAAAUGCGUAGAUAUCGGGGAGGAACAUCGAAUGGACGAAGGCCGACUCGCCUGGACCCAACACU
rnacentral:rRNA from 1 species